AGGACACAAGUUAAAUUUGCAUUUCAGAUAAACAAUGAUUUUUUUUGUAGAAAUAUGUCCCAUAUAAUAUUUGGGAUAUACUUAUACUAAAAAUAUUAUUUGCUUCAUGGAAUUCAAAAUGAACUGGGUGUCUUGUAUCUU
rnacentral:miRNA from 1 species